rnacentral:rRNA from 1 species
AGAACGAACGCUGGCGGCAGGCUUAACACAUGCAAGUCGAACGCGUGUAGCAAUACACGAGUGGCGCACGGGUGAGUAACGCGUGGAUAUCUGCCUUUUGGUUCGGAAUAACCCCGGGAAACUGGGGCUAAUACCGGAUGGUUCCUACGGGAUAAAGAUUUAUCGCCAAAAGAUGAGUCCGCGUACGAUUAGCUAGUUGGUGAGGUAAUGGCUCACCAAGGCGACGAUCGUUAGCUGGUCUGAGAGGACGAUCAGCCACACUGGGACUGAGACACGGCCCAGACUCCUACGGGAGGCAGCAGUGGGGAAUAUUGGACAAUGGGGGGCAACCCUGAUCCAGCCAUGCCGCGUGAGUGAUGAAGGCCUUCGGGUUGUAAAGCUCUUUGGCGGGGACGAUGAUGACGGUACCCGCAGAAUAAGCCCCGGCUAACUUCGUGCCAGCAGCCGC